rnacentral:rRNA from 1 species
GCUGACGAGUGGCGGACGGGUGAGUAAUGUCUGGGAAACUGCCUGAUGGAGGGGGAUAACUACUGGAAACGGUAGCUAAUACCGCAUAACGUCGCAAGACCAAAGAGGGGGACCUUCGGGCCUCUUGCCAUCGGAUGUGCCCAGAUGGGAUUAGCUUGUUGGUGGGGUAACGGCUCACCAAGGCGACGAUCCCUAGCUGGUCUGAGAGGAUGACCAGCCACACUGGAACUGAGACACGGUCCAGACUCCUACGGGAGGCAGCAGUGGGGAAUAUUGCACAAUGGGCGCAAGCCUGAUGCAGCCAUGCCGCGUGUAUGAAGAAGGCCUUCGGGUUGUAAAGUACUUUCAGCGGGGAGGAAGGGAGUAAAGUUAAUACCUUUGCUCAUUGACGUUACCCGCAGAAGAAGCACCGGCUAACUCCGUGCCAGCAGCCGCGGUAAUACGGAGGGUGCAAGCGUUAAUCGGAAUUACUGGGCGUAAAGCGCACGCAGGCGGUUUGUUAAGUCAGAUGUGAAAUCCCCGGGCUCAACCUGGGAACUGCAUCUGAUACUGGCAAGCUUGAGUCUCGUAGAGGGGGGUAGAAUUCCAGGUGUAGCGGUGAAAUGCGUAGAGAUCUGGAGGAAUACCGGUGGCGAAGGCGGCCCCCUGGACGAAGACUGACGCUCAGGUGCGAAAGCGUGGGGAGCAAACAGGAUUAGAUACCCUGGUAGUCCACGCCGUAAACGAUGUCGACUUGGAGGUUGUGCCCUUGAGGCGUGGCUUCCGGAGCUAACGCGUUAAGUCGACCGCCUGGGGAGUACGGCCGCAAGGUUAAAACUCAAAUGAAUUGACGGGGGCCCGCACAAGCGGUGGAGCAUGUGGUUUAAUUCGAUGCAACGCGAAGAACCUUACCUGGUCUUGACAUCCACUGCUACAAUGGCGCAUACAAAGAGAAGCGACCUCGCGAGAGCAAGCGGACCUCAUAAAGUGCGUCGUAGUCCGGAUUGGAGUCUGCAACUCGACUCCAUGAAGUCGGAAUCGCUAGUAAUCGUGGAUCAGAAUGCCACGGUGAAUACGUUCCCGGGCCUUGUACACACCGCCCGUCACACCAUGGGAGUGGGUUGCAAAAGAAGUAGGUAGCUUAACCUUCGGGAGGGCGCUUACCACUUUGUGAUUCAUGACUGGGGUGAAGUCGUAACAAGGUAACCGUAGGGGAACCUGCGGUUGGAUCACCUCCUUACCUUAAAGAAGC